ACCAAUAUAGCCGUGUUUCACACCACAACAGUUGCGCUUAAACACUUUACAGCACUGGGAAUUUUAGGUGCAGGCUGCAGCGACUUUGAACAAUUUGGCGCCAAAACACAAUCAGAAUCUGAAAAUUGCAUUUCAAAUUAUUUUUCUACCAUUUAAUGAGGGGCCAAAAUAAUGCCAUCGGUGGAAAACCCAUCGUGUGACUCCACUAAGUAGCUUUUAGGCUUAGUGUAAAACUUAAACCGAUGCAAACAAUUCGUUUUUGAAACGAAAGCAGAAAUUCGAGACUAAAUACAGAACACACGUACAAAAUGGCGCAGAUCCUUGGGAGUCCUUUAUCAGGGCAAAAAUGUCAAGCACGGCAAACGAAACGAAUGCCGUCCAAUUAGAUUUUGGGCUGGGCAGGCACGAAAAUUUUCCAAUCCACCCUCAGACUUUCCGUUUUUGCUGCGUGGGAUUUUUGAACAGCUGCUGGAGGGUUGAUGGAUCCACCUACACACACAAAUCCUUGAGGCAGAGAAAUGACAGAGAGAGAGAGAGAGGGAGAGCGAGACAGUACAAGGCAGAAAUUAUGAAAAGUAAUGAACUGUAAAUCGAAUUGCCAUUGUAAAGGAAAGCCACGGGACAGGGAAAUCGUUCCCCAACGAAAUACAUUCAUAAAUAAAUAAAUAAAUAAUAUUUUUGACAAUUUGGCAAUCAGGAUAAAAUAUUACAUGGCAUAUCGGCAUGAAUACGAUUGGACGGGAGUAAAUAAACGACAUGGAAAAUGAAC